GAUGAACGCUAGCGGCAGGCCUAAUACAUGCGAGUCGAACGAUACCAAGGAGCUUGCUUUUUGGGAAAGUGGCGCACGGGUGCGUAACGCGUAUGCAACCUACCUUAAUCAGGGGGAUAGCCCGAAGAAAUUCGGAUUAACACCGCAUAAAAACACAGUACAGCAUUGUACAAUGUUCAAAUAUUUAUAGGAUUAAGAUG
rnacentral:rRNA from 1 species